AGAAUCAACGCUGGCGGCGUGCCUAACACAUGCAAGUCGAACGAGAAAGUGGAGCAAUCCAUGAGUACAGUGGCGACCGGGUGAGUAACACGUGACUACCUACCCUUGAGUGGGGGAUAACCUCGGGAAACCGAGGCUAAUACCGCAUAAUAUCGAGAGAUCAAAGGAGCAAUUCGCUUUUGGAGGGGUCGCGGCUGAUUAGCUAGUUUGCGGGGUAAUGGCCCACCAAGGCGAAGAUCGGUA
rnacentral:rRNA from 1 species